rnacentral:rRNA from 1 species
UACGGGGGGGAGCAAACGUUGUUCGGAAUCACUGGGCGUAAAGGGAGCGUAGGCGGCCAUGUAAGUGAGGUGUUAAAUCCCCCGGCUCAACCGGGGACCUGCACCUCAUACUGCACGGCUUGAGUACAUCAGAGGAGACUGGAAUUCCCGGUGUAGCGGUGAAAUGCGUAGAUAUCAGGAGGAACACCGGUGGCGAAGGCGGGUCUCUGGGCCGAUACUGACGCUGAGGAGCGAAAGCGUGGGGAGCGAACAGG